UACGAAGGGGGCUAGCGUUGUUCGGAAUUACUGGGCGUAAAGCGCGCGUAGGCGGACUUUUAAGUCAGGGGUGAAAUCCCGGGGCUCAACCUCGGAACUGCCUUUGAUACUGCAAAUCUCGAGUCCGGAAGAGGUGAGUGGAAUUCCUAGUGUAGAGGUGAAAUUCGUAGAUAUUAGGAAGAACACCAGUGGCGAAGGCGGCUCACUGGUCCGGUACUGACGCUGAGGUGCGAAAGCGUGGGGAGCAAACAGG
rnacentral:rRNA from 1 species